GGCAGACGGCUGAGUAACGCGUGGAAACCUGCCCUGGGGUGGGGGAUAAGCCCGCGAAAGCGGGUCUAAUACCGCAUACGGUAGCUUCGGCUAAGAAAGCCUGUGGGUGCCCUUGGAGGGGUCCGCGUCCGAUUAGCUGGUUGGUGGGGUAACGGCCUACCAAGGCGACGAUCGGUAGCUGGUCUGAGAGGAUGAUCAGCCAGACUGGGACUGGGACACGGCCCAGACUCCUACGGGAGGCAGCAGUUAGGAAUUUUGGGCAAUGGCCGCAAGGCUGACCCAGCAACGCCGCGUGGGGGAUGAAGGCUCUUGGGUUGUAAACCCCUUUUCCCAGGGACGAUAGUGACGGUACCUGGGGAAGAAGCCCCGGCUAACUACGUGCCAGCAGCCGCGG
rnacentral:rRNA from 1 species